CAUUAGAUGACUGAAAGUAAGUAAUGGUCUCUUAAACCAAAAAAUAGUAUAGUAACGAAUGCUUCUAAUGA
rnacentral:tRNA from 1 species